CUCAAGCAGACAGCCCUGAAUGAGAUUCUUGGGGUAGCUACUGAAAACUGGCAGCAGGAUUGAUGCUGACGCUUCAUAGGCUGUGGUAACCACGUGACUCACCGCCACGUGUCCACGCAGAAAAGUUACCCCUUGUUCAGCGCAUCCUCAGUGCAGCCCCAAGGCUGAAGUCGCCAGUACCCACCUCUCUGGGCAGCCCAGUGAUGUCCCUCAGCGAUGAGACUUCAGCAAAGGUCCCCCAAGAGUGGGCUGCACUGUUGGCAAACCUCCUCAGGAACGGCUCCUCGGUGGUGGUCCCUCAGCAGCAACAACCUCUCAAGAAUGGUCCCUGGCGACUGCCCCUUAGCAACAGCUCCUCACAAAUGACCCCUAGAAAGUGGUCCAGUAACUAGGUCGCCUCCCAGAAACAGAUCCUCGGCGACGGUUCCUCAGCACUGGCCCCCGCAGAAUCAGUUCCUUAAGCCGCUAGACCAUGGCCUCUUAACGGCCCGACUGCCCCCAGCCACCGUGGGUCUGAGGCUGCGUAGUUUGGGCGCGCAGCUCCAUGGCAACGGAAGGCUGCUUUGGGGUAGCGGGCGGGGCUGAGGCUGCGGAGGGAGAGCUUGUGCGCAGGCGUAGUGCAACAGCGGGGGUAAAGUGGGACGAGCAUCGCGGAGGGCAGAGUCAAAGCUGACUGUUGCCCAGACGAUUCUCCUGGAGACUGGGGCAGGUGCUCGAGAACUUGUCUAAAGCCAGUUGAAACUUGGGUCAACUGCUUACUUAAAAGACCAUUUACGCAGAAGUUAGGAUCUCCUGCGUCUCUUGGAUCUGAAUUCUGGCUCUCCCAGGGCUUUGCAGCCUGUGUUGUGCCCUCUAGGUGGUGACAUCUGACUCCUCUGGAUAACUCACAGGACUCUUUGGAUUGUUUUUGGUCGUUUAAGUUGGCGUGGUCACUAGUCCGGGCAGGAGGUGGGCUCAACAGUGGACAGGACAUGUUCCCUUUCCUCAGAGUCGCAGGGAUGACUGGCAACUCCUGUAGUUUUGUCUUGGAGAUGGAGAACCUUCAGCGUUAAGAAGUCCUCAAAAUAAUACAGAGCCUGUGGAAAUGUCAGUGGAGAUUGGUGGGGGGUACCUCUGCACUCCCUUCAGAUACUUUGCCUGUGAAAUACCACUGCAAUACUGUAUAGGUGUGUGUGUGGCUGGGGAUCGAACCCAGGUGUUCUAUAAGUUUAGAGCUUUGUGUAUGGAAGCCGGAUGUCCUAGUAAAGCAAUUUGGGAAAGAUAGCCAGUUGGUUUGUAACCUUUAGCUGAGGGAGAAUGUGAACUGGGCCUCCUACUCUGGGUUGACCCUGGUAUAUGGCUGAGCAGAGAGGGUUGUGAAGUAACCAUAUCCAAUACUAAUAUUUGUGGUAUGAAGUAUAAUCCCCACUAUAGUAAAAUAAGUGAAUAAAUUGGUCUUCUCUUUCA
ensembl:processed_transcript 5830444B04Rik RIKEN cDNA 5830444B04 gene